rnacentral:sRNA from 1 species
GGAAGUAAAAGUCGUAACAAGGUCUCCGUUGGUGAACCAGCGGAGGGAUCAUUACCGAGUUUACAACUCCCAAACCCCUGUGAACAUACCUUAAUGUUGCCUCGGCGGAUCAGCCCGCGCCCCGUAAAACGGGACGGCCCGCCAGAGGACCCAAACUCUAAUGUUUCUUAUUGUAACUUCUGAGUAAAACAAACAAAUAAAUCAAAACUUUCAACAACGGAUCUCUUGGUUCUGGCAUCGAUGAAGAACGCAGCAAAAUGCGAUAAGUAAUGUGAAUUGCAGAAUUCAGUGAAUCAUCGAAUCUUUGAACGCACAUUGCGCCCGCUGGUAUUCCGGCGGGCAUGCCUGUUCGAGCGUCAUUUCAACCCUCAAGCCCCCGGGUUUGGUGUUGGGGAUCGGCUCUGCUUUCUGGCGGUGCCGCCCCCGAAAUACAUUGGCGGUCUCGCUGCAGCCUCCAUUGCGUAGUAGCUAACACCUCGCAACUGGAACGCGGCGCGGCCAUGCCGUAAAACCCCAACUUCUGAAUGUUGACCUCGGAUCAGGUAGGAAUACCCGCUGAACUUAAGCAUGUCAAUAAGCGGAGGAAAAGAAACCAACAGGGAUUGCCCUAGUAACGGCGAGUGAAGCGGCAACAGCUCAAAUUUGAAAUCUGGCUUUCGGGCCCGAGUUGUAAUUUGUAGAGGAUACUUUUGAUGCGGUGCCUUCCGAGUUCCCUGGAACGGGACGCCAUAGAGGGUGAGAGCCCCGUCUGGUUGGAUGCCAAAUCUCUGUAAAGUUCCUUCGACGAGUC